rnacentral:rRNA from 1 species
UGGGGAAUUUUGGACAAUGGGCGAAAGCCUGAUCCAGCAAUGCCGCGUGUGUGAAGAAGGCCUUCGGGUUGUAAAGCACUUUUGUCCGGAAAGAAAUCCUUGGCUCUAAUACAGUCGGGGGAUGACGGUACCGGAAGAAUAAGCACCGGCUAACUACGUGCCAGCAGCCGCGGUAAUACGUAGGGUGCAAGCGUUAAUCGGAAUUACUGGGCGUAAAGCGUGCGCAGGCGGUUUGCUAAGACCGAUGUGAAAUCCCCGGGCUCAACCUGGGAACUGCAUUGGUGACUGGCAGGCUAGAGUAUGGCAGAGGGGGGUAGAAUUCCACGCGUAGCAGUGAAAUGCGUAGAGAUGUGGAGGAAUACCGAUGGCGAAGGCAGCCCCCUGGGCCAAUACUGACGCUCAUGCACGAAAGCGUGGGGAGCAAACAGGAUUAGAUACCCUGGUAGUCCACGCCCUAAACGAUGUCAACUAGUUGUUGGGGAUUCAUUUCCUUAGUAACGUAGCUAACGCGUGAAGUUGACCGCCUGGGGAGUACGGUCGCAAGAUUAAAACUCAAAGGAAUUGACGGGGUCAUAGCUGUUUCCU